GGGGAAUUUUCCGCAAUGGGCGAAAGCCUGACGGAGCAAUACCGCGUGAGGGAGGAAGGCUCUUGGGUUGUAAACCUCUUUUCUCAGGGAAGAAAAAAAUGACGGUACCUGAGGAAUAAGCAUCGGCUAACUCCGUGCCAGCAGCCGCGGUAAUACGGAGGAUGCAAGCGUUAUCCGGAAUGAUUGGGCGUAAAGCGUCCGCAGGUGGCGAUGAAAGUCUGCUGUUAAAGAGUGAGGCUCAACCUCAUAAAAGCAGUGGAAACUACAUAGCUAGAGUACGUUCGGGGCAGAGGGAAUUCCUGGUGUAGCGGUGAAAUGCGUAGAGAUCAGGAAGAACACCGGUGGCGAAAGCGCUCUGCUAGGCCUGUACUGACACUGAGGGACGAAAGCUAGGGGAGCGAAUGGGAUUAGAUACCCCAGUAGUCCUAGCCGUAAACGAUGGAUACUAGGCGUGGCUUGUAUCGACCCGAGCCGUGCCGGAGCUAACGCGUUAAGUAUCCCGCCUGGGGAGUACGCACGCAAGUGUGAAACUCAAAGGAAUUGACGGGGGCCCGCACAAGCGGUGGAGUAUGUGGUUUAAUUCGAUGCAACGCGAAGAACCUUACCAAGACUUGACAUGUCGCGAAUUCCUCUGAAAGGAGGAAGUGCCUUAGGGAGCGCGAACACAGGUGGUGCAUGGCUGUCGUCAGCUCGUGUCGUGAGAUGUUGGGUUAAGUCCCGCAACGAGCGCAACCCUCGUUUUUAGUUGCCAGCAUUAAGUUGGGCACUCUAGAGAGACUGCCGGUGACAAACCGGAGGAAGGUGGGGAUGACGUCAAGUCAGCAUGCCCCUUACGUCUUGGGCUACACACGUACUACAAUGCUACGGACAAAGGGCAGCAAGCUAGUGAUAGCAAGCAAAUCUCAUAAACCGUAGCUCAGUUCAGAUCGCAGGCUGCAACUCGCCUGCGUGAAGUCGGAAUCGCUAGUAAUUGCAGGUCAGCAUACUGCAGUGAAUUCGUUCCCGGGCCUUGUACACACCGCCCGUCACACCAUGGAAGCUGGCAACGCCCGAAGUCAUUACUCCAACCCUUCGGGGAGGAGGAUGCCUAAGGCAGUGCUGGUGACUGGGGUGAAGUCGUAACAAGGUAGCCGUACCGGAAGGUGUGGCUGGAUCACCUCCUUUUAGGGAGACCUACCCAACUUUGGUAUCGAAGGCAAAUAGCUUCUAGAUGCAAAGAUGGUCUACUCUAGGUCGGUCGCAGUGAUGUUAAGGCUUUCAAACUAUGAUGAGGUUCAACUCGGGCUAUUAGCUCAGGUGGUUAGAGCGCACCCCUGAUAAGGGUGAGGUCCCUGGUUCGAGUCCAGGAUGGCCCACCUGAAGAAUUUGAGAUUUUAAAUUUUAGAUUUGAGAUUGUAUUUUCAAUCAAAAAUCACCAAUCAAAAAUCAAAAAUUCGGAAUGGGGGUUUAGCUCAGUUGGUAGAGCGCCUGCUUUGCAAGCAGGAUGUCAGCGGUUCGAGUCCGCUAACCUCCACAUUCUCGCAGCAUUAACAGAUAAGAAACUCAAAGCAUCGAUGGCAAGUAAAAGCAAAAGAUGUGGGAGUAAUCUUGAAUGAGGGUUGAGACUGUGGGAAAAAACAGAUAAAGGAAAAAUUCAGCAACAAGACUCAUAUGGGUCAGACUGCUGGAUGAUACCAGCCAGAACCUUGAAAACUGCAUAGUAACGCGAUUAUAGCAGGCAGACACAGACAUUAGUGAUAAUAGUAGUGUUUGCGCAAAGCAACCAAAUGUAAUGUGGUCAAGCUAAUAAGGGCUGAUGGUGGAUACCUAGGCACACAGAG
rnacentral:misc_RNA from 1 species